CUUUAGGACAGACUGAGAAAAACUCUUCUCAGUUGACUGGGAUGACUAGAGGCUGGUAAUGACAAGGGACUGAAGUUUUCACUACCAUGAGUUGUCACAUCUAAUGGACUUGAGAGCCGGAGUGUUUUUAAACACUAAACCUAGCUGAGUGUUUCUCAACUCUGCUGCAUCUUAGACUCAUGUGAAAAAUUUUAUCCCAAAGAAGGGAAAAGAGGGCAGUGGACAGGAGGAGAGAAGAGAAAAAGAAAACACCAAUGCUUGGAUCCCACUCCUGGGAGACUAAUGAUCUGGAAAGAAUAAAUCCUCAGAUCCUUGCCCAUGUGCUCACUUGGCUCCAGAGCCUAUAACCGAGUGAUAUCUAAAAACAGAGUUAUCCAAGAACACUCAACUGGUAAGGGAAGAAUGCCUCAAUUGAGCAUGUGUACAAUUCCAGUAAACACACUGUGCCUGCAGCCCCUCCCAACUGCUGGCAGGCCACUCUGCAUGCAGACAGCUCACCCCAAGGAGAGAAUCAGGGGAGAAGAGACACAACCGCCUGAAAGCAUGCCAACAUAUUCCCCAAGUCAAAAGGUUC
rnacentral:lncRNA from 1 species